UCAAAAAGAGGGUUUAAUUUGUGUGCUUAUAUAUUUCGCAUCAAAUUUUGGCGCCGUUGCCGGGGAUUAGUAACUUUGCUAAUCCUUUUAUUUUUGUUUUUGUUUAUGUUUAUAUUGGUGUUUGUGUAUUUUACUUUUGAUAUUUGAUUUAUUUUUCUUUCUUUGAUUUUAGGCACAAAUGGAGCUGAGGGAAAUUUAAAGGAAAGAUGCGUCCGGCUGAAGACGUUAAAUCAAGCGCUUCUUGGGAGGCAACCCAAGCAUUCAACGAAGGGAGACUUUGGAAUCGCUAACCCAAUCAGAUUUGCAUUUUUACACCCU
rnacentral:lncRNA from 1 species